rnacentral:lncRNA from 1 species
AGAUGGAGUCUCACUCUGUUGCCUAAGCGGGAGUGCAGUUGAGUGAUCUUGGCUCACUGCAGCCUCUGCCUCCCAAGUUCAAGUGACUUUCCUGCCUCAGCCUCCUGAGUGUCUGGGAUUACAAGUGCCCACCACCAUGCCUGGCUAAUUUUUGUAAUUUUAGUAGAGACAGGGUUUCACCAUGUUGGCCAUGCUGGUCUCGAACUCCUGACCUCAAGCGAUCUGCUCGCCUCAGCCUACCAAAGUGCUGGGAUUACAGGCAUCAGCCACCGCACCGGCCUCUUUAUUUUUUUUUAUUUUUUGAGACAAGAGUCACUCUGUUGCCCAGGCUGGAGUGCAGUGGCACCAUCUUGGUUCACUGCAACCUGUCUCCCAGUUUCAAGCGAUUCUUCUGCCUCAGCCUCCUGAGUAGCUGGGAUUACAGGGUGUGCCACCACAGCUGGCUAAUUUUUGUAUUUUAAGUAGAAACGGGAUUUCACUAUGUUGGCCAGGCUGGUCUCGAACCCCUGGCCUCAAAUGAUCUGCCCCACCCCCCGGAACCUCCCAAAGUGCUGGGAUUACAGGCACGAGCCACUGCACCCAGCCUAGAUAUUUUAAUUUGUAACCUAUUUACUAGUUUAUAAACAGAUGUAGGUUGAGUAUGGUGUUUUGAAUUAUGUGAACCAAACAUAUACCUAGGGUAUCCUCAAUAUCCUAUUUUCAUCCAGGGAGUGAUUUAAAUGCUAAGGUGCAUAAUCCACAUUUAGUACUAGGAAAUGUUUUCUAAAUAUUUAAAUAAGAAAAAUGAAAGAAGAAAUUGACAUUUGAAUGCCUGUCAGGUACUCGGCAUUCUGCUACGCAUCUUUUUUUUUUUUUUUUUUUAACCCUAACAACCCAAUGGGGCAAAUAUAUCAUUUUACAGGUAAAGAAACUGAGGCUCACAGAUGUUAGGUAACUUGUCCAAGGUUGCAUAGCUAGUAAAUGUGUAUAGAAUUCAAACUGAAUUCUGACUUCAAAAUCUGUAAAUGUCUCACUGAACCAUUGGUCCUUAAACCCUUGGGAGUCAUGGACUUGUUUCAAAAUUGUAUAAAACUACAUCACCUUUCUUUCGAGAAAUGCACACACAGUAGUUUGGCAUUUCGCUUUACAGAGCCUAGACCUGAAGCUCUGGGUCUAUUAUGCCACGUGAAGAUACCCUGCACCAGACAGUACUGCAUUAAGUAACAUAUAUCUAUCUAUACAAGUACCCUACAUAUUCUACUACCCUGUCUUUGGAAAACAAAUCUAAUUUUUAAAUCUAAGAAAUUAUAAUUUUAUUUAUUUUUGAGACAGUGUCUUACUCUGUAGCCCAGGCUUGAGUAUAGUGACACCAUCUCGGCUCUCUGCAAACUCCACCUUCCAGGUUCAAGAGAUUCUCGCGCCUCAGCCUCCUGAGUAGCAUGCGCCACCACGCCCGGCUAAUUUUUUUUGGUAUUUUUUAGUAGAGACCUGCUUUCACCAUGUUGAUCUGCCAACCUCAGCCUCCCAAAGUGCUGAGACUGCAGGUGUGAGCCACCAGUCAGCCAGAAAUUUAAUGUAGUUUAGAAGGAUUACAAAAGUAUUUCUACAUACCUUUAAAUUUUGACUAAUUUUGCCUCUGGCAAUGGGAUCAAAAUAAAUGCAGCAAUUCUUAUUUGUAAUGCAACAGCAUGUCUUAGAACAGUUAGAUCUCAAGUAAACUUUACAAAUAAAGUACUGGAAUUAAUUUACAUUUAAAAAUAAAUUAGCCCAGUGGCCUAAAAUUAAAUCCGAGGCUCCAAAUAAAAAUUUCAGCAAAUUCCCCUAUUAUCUGUUAACACCGAAAAAUAUCAGCUGCUAUAAAUUAUUUGUGCAUUAUUCCUGGGGAGAAAGCAAGCAAGCCGCUGUCAUGGCAGUCUCUAUUUUCUUUGACCCUAACUUAUCCUCUAUGAUCCUGAAUAAAUGGUAGGUAGUACCCCUGCACUAAACUUGGGAAGUACUUAAAUAAAUAUAGUCUCUUUAAAAGAACUGAUCACAGAUGUCUAAAAUUAAAACGUUUGAUUUAUUAAUAAACAAAGUAUCUCUCUUAAAUGGGCCAAGAAACAAUUCUAUGACAAAAGUGAACCCUGGAAUAUAGAUAUUCCCAGAAGACAAUUUUCCAGGAUACCCAGCCAAACAAUUUUCACCUAGUCACAAAAGUCAUUUUCAUCGAAGCCUACAGUCAUUCCUUUUUCUAAUUCUAUUCUCUCAUUUCUUUCUAAACAUGAUUUUAAUAAAGCAUAUACCUGUCAAAGACUUCUCUUUGCAAAAGACAUAGGAACAGCAGUCAGGAAGAGGACUCUGAAGCCCAGUCACUCCACAGAUCCAAAGUUUAUGGCUGUGUGCCCUUGUAACUUAGCCUCUCUGCAUCUGUUUCCUUGUCUGUAGUGGUACUAGGUUGGCGCAAAAGUAAUUGCGGGAUAUUUACCUCAUAAGAGUGUUGAUGGUUAAAUACAAGAGUGAAUAACUUAAGACAUAUAGAACAGUGCCAAGCAUGUACUAAAUGCUCAAAAGAGUUUGAGCUAUUAUCAUUCCAGCUUUUUCAUCAAACCAAAUGGUAUCCUCCUAAGCAGCCCAGGGAUUACAAUGACAAACCUAGUCAGAGGUAAAUCAAAGGAUUAAAUAUGUUCAGGAAUACAGAGAUUUGUGAAUACAGAGUAAAGAUACUAUAAUCAAUCCCUAGUUAUUAUUUUUCACAAUGGUACCUAGUUAUUAUUAUUUUUAUAGAUAAAGGGGUCUUGCUAUGUUGCCCAGGCUGGUCUCAAACUCCUGGGCUCAAGCAAUCCUCCUGCCUUGGCCUCCCAAAGUGCUAGGAUUACUGGUGUGAGCCACUGUGCCCAGCCCCUAGUUUUUAAAAUGAUUUCACUUAUGUGUAUGAACCCAAACAUUCUGAAAAUACUAAAAAUUUCUAUCAAUAUCUGUCUUACUCAUUCUUCAGAUUAUCCUUUAGAUUUUCAGUAGUGCCACAUAAUUUUAUAACUAAAUUUUAUUAUAGCGGAAUAAUUCAAAGAGUUGUAGUUUUGAAAUAAAUUUUGCUAUGAUUAGAGAAAAUCUAUUCAGAAAGUACAAUAUACAUUAAUUUAUGGCACUUGUCCAAAUAUUACCAGCAUACAAAUUAUUGUUUAAGGUUGUUUCUUACAUAUGGGAUCUAAUAUGCAAAGAAAACUGGAAUUUGUAUUCAAAACAAAUAGAAGCAACACUGGCUCCUAUAUACUAAAAAUAUAAGACAGAUUUUUUUCUUAAACACUCUGGAUACAAAUACUAACUGUAUGGAUUGAGAACUUUGAAGUUUUCAUAAUGUAAGUCACAAAGUAUACAAGUAGAGCUCUAUAAAUAUAUCCCCUAUAAUAAUCAUAUGCAAAACCAUUCUAUCACAAACACUACCAAAACCCUUUGAAAAACAUAAACUACAACACAUUUUCAAAGAAAUUAUUAGUUAUAACAACUACAAAAGCAAUAAAUAUCAAUAAAGUUAUUUGGCUGUCAGAAAUGAAGGGCAGUAUAAUGUAAAAUUCAAAUACUGCAAAGUUGUUUUUUGAAGAUGUAGUCUCGAGUUUCUUCUUCUUCUUUUUUUUAAAUUUUAGAGACAGGAUUUCACCAUGUUGCCCAGGCUGGUCUCAAUCUCCUGGCCUCAAGCAAUCUGCCCGCCUCGACCUCCCAAAGUGCUGGGAUUACAGGAGUGAACCACCACGCUUGGCCAAGUUUCUUAAUACAAGGUACUAAACACUCUUUCAAAAAUAAUAAGACUUGUUCCAUAUAAAGUUGAGCAAGAACUCUAAAAAGAAAAAAUUAAGCAACAGAUGAAAAGUAGGUAUGUGGAAAUAAUGGUAUCAAAUAUGAUUUUAUACAAAAUGUACCAUUCUUCAAAUGUGUAAGUCUUAAUAUGAAUAUUUUUGGAUUGUGAGUGUUGCUCAGCCUAAUUUUUAAAGAAUUAGUCUCAAACCAUUCAAAAUCCAGUAUUUCUCAAAAGUUCUGAUAUUACUAAUGUGGUCAUGGUGCAGGAUGCAAUUUCAUGUCAACUUACCUAUACUGUUCUACCCAAUAAAAAUAUAACCUUUGAGCU